CUGCUUCCUCGUAGAGACAGACUAAGGCCGGCUACAUACUGGCUGCGUCUCGUGAGCGUGUCAGCUGCGUGGCGUGUCUGUUUUUAUUUUGGCUCCCAUGUUAACAGGUUAGAGCUUACACACUGCCUGUGUGACAGGCACGUCUCGAGCCACGCCGAAAACACGUGCAUGCUAGAAAUAGA